rnacentral:rRNA from 1 species
AUUGAACGCUGGCGGCACGCCUUACACAUGCAAGUCGAACGGCAGCGGGGGAGAAGCUUGCUUUUCCUGCCGGCGAGUGGCGAACGGGUGAGUAAUACAUCGGAACGUGCCCUGUAGUGGGGGAUAACUAGUCGAAAGAUUAGCUAAUACCGCAUACGACCUGAGGGUGAAAGUGGGGAACCGCAAGGCCUCAUGCUAUAGGAGCGGCCGACGUCUGAUUAGCUAGUUGGUGGGGUAAAGGCCUACCAAGGCGACGAUCAGUAGCUGGUCUGAGAGGACGAUCAGCCACACUGGGACUGAGACACGGCCCAGACUCCUACGGGAGGCAGCAGUGGGGAAUUUUGGACAAUGGGCGAAAGCCUGAUCCAGCAAUGCCGCGUGUGUGAAGAAGGCCUUCGGGUUGUAAAGCACUUUUGUCCGGAAAGAAAUGGCUCUGGUUAAUACCUGGGGUCGAUGACGGUACCGGAAGAAUAAGGACCGGCUAACUACGUGCCAGCAGCCGCCGUAA